AAAAAAAAAAGUUCCGGGUCGGGUUCGGUCCAACCAGAAUCGGUUGGACCAGGUGUCGGUUGGACCAGGUCUCGUUGAACCGAGACCUGGUCUCGUACGGGAUGUGCAGGUCUCGUACGAGACCUGCUGCGGAAUUUCAGGGGGGCAGUUUUGCCCCCUGAUUUCUCUCGAUCUAUCCGCGUUUUAAAAACGCUUUCUAAACCAAAUAUCUUCACCACACAUCAGUCUAGCCCUAGCCGCUUUCCUCAUUCAAUUUCGCUGAGAAUCCUUUCCGAAAUCAUCAACCAAAGUUAAGUGAAAAUCAUUGGUUUCGCUUCCUUCCAGUGAUAGAAGACUCACGUAUCUACAAAUCCCAACUUUUCGUUCGUCAAACGCCGUUCGGAGGUCGAAAUCAAUUCCGUUUGUUUCCCGUGAAAGUAGACUCACGCAUCUACGUUUCUACACCUUUCGUUCGUCAAACGACCCGUCGACUGCUCGUGCUUCGGAGUCUACGCAGGGUUAGCUGUUUGCCAAGAUCACGUGGAUAAGCAAGCAGUGAGUUUGUAGUGCUAUUUACCGCUUUAUUAAGUACCGCAAUUUAUUUUAAUAUUAUAAAUGUUUGCGAACUGUUUUUACGGAUUAUGGAACUGGAUUGAAACGAGCUACUCGAUAGGCUUGUAUCGAGACUGUGUGCACCGGUAAGUACUCUGGGAAACGGCAGACUAAAGUCUUGCUCACGCUGGUAUAUUUAUUUGACGAGGAUUUGUUCCCGUCCACUCUGGGUUUAUCGGUAUGCUAUGACAUACUUACGCUGGGAUCAUUUCAAUACUGUUUUUCCAUAAUCAUAUUAUAUUAGUAUAAAAAUGUUUUGAUUUAAGGGUUUUAAACUUAAUAAAUGUAAAUAGUAUUGCGAACUCAUCUCAGUAUAUCUGACCCCGUUGUUUUCCCAAAUUUUCCAGGUUUAUGAUUUGAAAGCUGGUCCACUCCGAUUCUUUUGAUUCCUCGGAGGUUUUUAUGUUAUUAAACUAGUUUCUAUUUUUCGAACUCUUAGACCGCAGUAGAACUAGUUUAUACAUUACUUAUUAUUGCACUUUGGGAUUGUCGAUUUGAGCGACUAUUUAUUUUUGGCAUGUUCACUCCGGAUUAUUUAUUUUAUAUAUAAGGCAUGCUGUUGAACUUUUCA